rnacentral:rRNA from 1 species
GACGAACGCUGGCGGCGUGCCUAAUACAUGCAAGUAGAACGCUGAAGAGAGGAGCUUACUCUUCUUGGAUGAGUUGCGAGCGGGUGAGUAACGCGUAGGUAACCUGCCUUGUAGCGGGGGAUAACUAUUGGAAACGAUAGCUAAUACCGCAUAACAAUGGAUGACACAUGUCAUUUAUUUGAAAGGGGCAAUUGCUCCACUACAAGAUGGACCUGCGUUGUAUUAGCUAGUAGGUGAGGUAAUGGCUCACCUAGGCGACGAUACAUAGCCGACCUGAGAGGGUGAUCGGCCACACUGGGACUGAGACACGGCCCAGACUCCUACGGGAGGCAGCAGUAGGGAAUCUUCGGCAAUGGGGGCAACCCUGACCGAGCAACGCCGCGUGAGUGAAGAAGGGUUUCGGAUCGUAAAGCUCUGUUGUAAGUCAAGAACGGGUGUGAGAGUGGAAAGUUCACACUGUGACGGUAGCUUACCAGAAAGGGACGGCUAACUACGUG